UACGGAGGGUGCAAGCGUUAUCCGGAUUCACUGGGUUUAAAGGGUGCGUAGGAGGGCAGGUAAGUCAGUGGUGAAAUCUCCAAGCUUAACUUGGAACUGCCGUUGAUACUAUCUGUCUUGAAUACCGUGGAGGUGAGCGGAAUAUGUCAUGUAGCGGUGAAAUGCUUAGAUAUGACAUAGAACACCAAUUGCGAAGGCAGCUCGCUACACGAAUAUUGACUCUGAGGCACGAAAGCGUGGGGAUC
rnacentral:rRNA from 1 species